UACAGAGGUCUCAAGCGUUGUUCGGAUUCAUUGGGCGUAAAGGGUGCGCAGGUGGCGCCGUAAGUCGGGUGUGAAAUUUCGGAGCUUAACUCCGAAACUGCAUUCGAUACUGCGGUGCUUGAGGACUGGAGAGGAGACUGGAAUUCAUGGUGUAGCAGUGAAAAUGCGUAGAGAUCAUGAGGAAGACCAGUGGCGAAGGCGGGUCUCUGGACAGUUCCUGACACUGAGGCACGAAGGCCAGGGGAGCAAACGGG
rnacentral:rRNA from 1 species